UUCAUAUCCACACAGUUUUGUUAUAUAUAUAAAACAUGACAUUUAUUACUUAUUAUAUAUGUCUACAUUAUAUAUAUAGUGUUAGCUGUUUUUAUCAUUCUCGUAUUUGAUAGAGUAGCAAAUAAAACGUGUUACAAGAUUUGUGAAAUGCCAAAUACUAAAUGUCAACCACUCCUCCCUCUCUCCAUUUCCCCUCCUUCCCCCGCCCCCUUCCUCCUUCUCUAUUUUAAAUAGCUUUUAUUUAUUUGUUGUAAGAGCACUCAACGUGAGAUCCAGCUUCGCAACAAAGUUUUAAGCUCACAGGGCAGUAUUGUUAACUACAGGCACGAUGCCGUACGGCAGAUCUGUAGAGCUUGCUCUUCUGCUGUAACUGAACUUUAUGUAACAUUUUUAGAGGAAGUAAACAGCCGCAGUAGAACAUGCUGUUACGACAAACGUCCUGGAGGUGGCAGCAGAGGUCUAAGGAGUGACACAUCCUACCCGUGCACUCUGGACAAGCCUUUGGAUGUCACCACCUCUGUCUGGGCUACAAGCUAUUGGCAAGUCUUCCAGCUGAAAGUGCCAGUUGCACAGUCCCAAGGCGCUCCACAGCAUUCCCAGGUCGCCGACAGUUGACUCCAGAGACUGCUUGCUUCCAAGCCAGGUGUGUAUUUUAUUUUCUGGCAGAGCUAUUAUUUCAUCACUGUCACAAAACUUCAGACUUAGGGGACAUUCAAGGACGCAGAAGGAACAAUUAAGUCUCAUUCCUGAAAUGAGAUAUUUUCACUGGCAACUAUAAAUGGCUUCAUCAAAUAGUUGCUUCCCAGCAGAUGCUGAAUAUGGGGAAGUAUAAUUAUAAUACAGAGUAUGGCACUCUUUCAGAAGUUGGGUAUUUAUAGACUCUGGCUCCAUCACAUAGUAUCUGCAUGACCUUGGGUUACUCAGUCUUUCUAAGCUUCAAUUUAUUUAUAUGUAAAAUGGACAUCAUAAUAUAAACAGGGUAUUGGUGAGUGUUGGGGGCCGCUCGUUCCUUACUCCUGAUGUUUCUUUCCAUCUGAAAGGAUCUCCUCCUUUUCCUCUGUUCCCUUCCCUUAUUAGCCUGAGGCUUAUAGCCUCCCUCCACUAACCCCUUGCUUAUUCAAAAUUUACUCACCCAACUGGUGGGUGUGAAAGAGCAAGUAUAGUGCAGUCCAUCCUUUAUCAUUUCUCCUGGGGCAAACUGCUUCUGGGGAGUAGGAAUUUUUUUCUUCUGGGUUGGGGCAGGGAGAGGCCAAUGUCCUCCCCCAGCACUGCCUGACUUGUCUGUCAUGGUGGGCUGCCUCUGAGAAGAUUCUGUAUGAUCGCUGCCUCAUGGUGUUCAUGUGCUCAUGUAAUCUCCCCCUCUUGAGUGUGGGCUGGACCUAGUGACUUGCUUCUAACAAACAAAUAUGGCAAAAGUAAUGAGAUGUCCCUUCUGAGAUUAGCUUACAAAAGGAUUGUGACUUCUGUCUUGCUGACCCUCUCUUUCUCUGUCUUAUGGAGCCCUUGCUAUGGAGGGAAGCCAGCUGCUGUGUUGUAAGUAGCCCUACAGAGAGGUCCAUGUAGCAAGGGACCAAUGUCUCUGGCCAACAGCCAGCAAGGAACUGAGACCCUCAGUCCAAACAGCCUGUGAGGAACUAAUUCCUGCCAACAGCCAGUGAGUCUGGAAGCCAAUCUUUUCCCAGUUGAACCUUUAGCUGACCACAGUCCUGGGCAACACCUUGAUUGCAGCCUGUUGAGAAACUCUGAGUCAGAAGACCCAGCUAUGCUGCACUCAGAUUCCUGAUCCACAUCAACUGUGAGAUAAUAAAUAUUUGUUGUUUAAAGCUGCUGAGUUUGGG
rnacentral:lncRNA from 1 species